rnacentral:ribozyme from 1 species
AGUCCGGAAGACAAAUACCUUCUCGAGGUCCGGAUCGUAAGUAAGCUUGGCACCAAUAGCUAAAAAAAUGUCAAGCCGAAACAAAAUCUGU